AUAGUCGUGUGAGGCAAGUAUGCACUUCGAACCGUGUCAGGGUCGGAAGGCAGCAGCACUAAGGAGAUCGUGUAUUGUGCUUCACUUCUGAUGAAUAU
rnacentral:SRP_RNA from 1 species